rnacentral:misc_RNA from 1 species
UCUCCGUUGGUGAACCAGCGGAGGGAUCAUUACCGAGUUUACAACUCCCAAACCCAAUGUGAACUAUACCUGUCUACCGUUGCUUCGGUGGGUUCGCCCGCCGAGGGACCGACAAAUAAACUCUUGUAUUUCUAUCUUUAGCACGUCUGAGUGGAAUCAUAAACAAAUGAAUCAAAACUUUCAACAACGGAUCUCUUGGUUCUG